rnacentral:rRNA from 1 species
AGAUUGAACGCUGGCGGCAUGCCUUACACAUGCAAGUCGAACGGCAGCACGGGAGCAAUCCUGGUGGCGAGUGGCGAACGGGUGAGUAAUACAUCGGAACGUGCCCAAUCGUGGGGGAUAACGCAGCGAAAGCUGUGCUAAUACCGCAUAAGAUCUACGGAUGAAAGCAGGGGAUCGCAAGACCUUGCGCGAAUGGAGCGGCCGAUGGCAGAUUAGGUAGUUGGUGAGGUAAAGGCUCACCAAGCCUUCGAUCUGUAGCUGGUCUGAGAGGACGACCAGGCCACACUGGGACUG